rnacentral:lncRNA from 1 species
AGAUUUUUAAAAUUCUUAUUUUAAAAAGCCGAAGGCUUACCGCCUUUUAAGGGUGAGAGAUUUGAAGAAACGAAAGUGCAGACAGCGCUCCAAAUAGUAUUAACCCUGAGAGGUCCCUGGGGAAUUGGGCGGGGGGCGACGAUAACGGUUUUCGGGACUUUGACGCUCUCGUGAUGCUCCGAUCACGACGCGACUUACCUCAUUCGACGUAGAAUUACUUUUUACAUAUAUUAUGACUUAAUUUUACAACAAUUAACAAAAUUAACGGGAGAUUGGAAGCAAAAAAGGAGAAAAAAAGGGGAAACUUCUAAAAUAUAGGAAAAAAAUGUCUUCUAAAAUUAGAGGAUGCAACCACCUCUAAAUGAAAGAAGAACUUUUCAUCUAACGGAAAAGACUAAAUUUGCAUUAUUGUUUUCCUUGUUCGCGAGAUAUCUGCGAAAGAAAAAGACACCCAGAUUGACUUUGAGUUGAUUGUUUGUUGACUAGCAGACGACGGUAAUUUGCAACAGCCAGUCAGCCAGUCUGCUUGUGGGCUGUGGCAUGGCCUACUGUGGGAUUAUAAUAAGGAAAGAAAAACAUGCCUCUUGUGUCACAACUGACUGUUCCUUUACCUAUCAAAUCUGUACCAAAUUUGGCAGAUAGGUCACAUGUAUAGGUGCUGAAUCAACUGGAAAACGUAAAAAAAAUGGAAUUUAAAAUUACAUUUAUCAUCAGACAUACCUCCAUUUCAGUUUUUAUUUGUCGGAAAGAUGACAAGUUGGAAAUUGAUCUACAUGUCACCCUAAAUGAUAUCAUAGCAUACAAUACUUUUUUCGGGAUGCAAAACGAAUUUCCCUCAUUUAAAAGGCAUGUAUGAUUUCAGGGUUGAAAUUUUGUAACGAAGAAAAAUGUAAGCUGCAGCUGUGUAAAAUGGAAUUGACAGAUUACAUUCAUCAUCAGACAUCUUUCAGUUUCAGAAAGCUAUGCAUUGAAGAUGACAAGUUGACAAUUGAUUUACAUGGUACCCUAAGUGAUAUCCUAGAAUACCAUAUUUAUUUGGCCUUCAAAACAAGCUUUCCCCUCAGGCCUCAAUUAUAGCGAAGUACUGAUGGACCAUGACAGUAUAUACUUUGACUGCCAAGACUCCUAAUCAAGAAUCCAUGGCUAUAGAGAAUUUCGCUGCCCACGCUAUUCUCCAGCUACUCGUCGUGAUUGCCAACAAUUAGGGUUAGGAUUCAGCCCAACUUGUGUCGUCAUAGCUUCGAGCUGAACAUUAAGAAGGAAAAGCCACCUUUGGUCUAAUUCAUCGAUGUUGUAUGUAGAAUUCAAUAAUAUGUUCAUUGUUUUUAAAUAGAUAUGAACCCUGGCAAAAUCAAUUAGAUGCAGCAGUUGGGAGUCACAAAAUCCUUUUUUGUCAAGCGUCAUGUGCUAGUUUAAUAGGUUUACCAAUACAAGAUUUUUGAAACGGG